rnacentral:rRNA from 1 species
UUGAAGAGUUUGAUCAUGGCUCAGAUUGAACGCUGGCGGCAGGCCUAACACAUGCAAGUCGAACGGUAACAGGAAGCAGCUUGCUGCUUUGCUGACGAGUGGCGGACGGGUGAGUAAUGUCUGGGAAACUGCCUGAUGGAGGGGGAUAACUACUGGAAACGGUGGCUAAUACCGCAUAACGUCGCAAGACCAAAGAGGGGGACCUUCGGGCCUCUUGCCAUCAGAUGUGCCCAGAUGGGAUUAGCUAGUUGGUGAGGUAACGGCUCACCAAGGCGACGAUCCCUAGCUGGUCUGAGAGGAUGACCAGCCACACUGGAACUGAGACACGGUCCAGACUCCUACGGGAGGCAGCAGUGGGGAAUAUUGCACAAUGGGCGCAAGCCUGAUGCAGCCAUGCCGCGUGUAUGAAGAAGGCCUUCGGGUUGUAAAGUACUUUCAGCGGGGAGGAAGGUGUUGUGGUUAAUAACCACAGCAAUUGACGUUACCCGCAGAAGAAGCACCGGCUAACUCCGUGCCAGCAGCCGCGGUAAUACGGAGGGUGCAAGCGUUAAUCGGAAUUACUGGGCGUAAAGCGCACGCAGGCGGUCUGUCAAGUCGGAUGUGAAAUCCCCGGGCUCAACCUGGGAACUGCAUUCGAAACUGGCAGGCUUGAGUCUUGUAGAGGGGGGUAGAAUUCCAGGUGUAGCGGUGAAAUGCGUAGAGAUCUGGAGGAAUACCGGUGGCGAAGGCGGCCCCCUGGACAAAGACUGACGCUCAGGUGCGAAAGCGUGGGGAGCAAACAGGAUUAGAUACCCUGGUAGUCCACGCCGUAAACGAUGUCUACUUGGAGGUUGUGCCCUUGAGGCGUGGCUUCCGGAGCUAACGCGUUAAGUAGACCGCCUGGGGAGUACGGCCGCAAGGUUAAAACUCAAAUGAAUUGACGGGGGCCCGCACAAGCGGUGGAGCAUGUGGUUUAAUUCGAUGCAACGCGAAGAACCUUACCUGGUCUUGACAUCCACAGAACUUUCCAGAGAUGGAUUGGUGCCUUCGGGAACUGUGAGACAGGUGCUGCAUGGCUGUCGUCAGCUCGUGUUGUGAAAUGUUGGGUUAAGUCCCGCAACGAGCGCAACCCUUAUCCUUUGUUGCCAGCGGUUAGGCCGGGAACUCAAAGGAGACUGCCAGUGAUAAACUGGAGGAAGGUGGGGAUGACGUCAAGUCAUCAUGGCCCUUACGACCAGGGCUACACACGUGCUACAAUGGCGCAUACAAAGAGAAGCGACCUCGCGAGAGCAAGCGGACCUCAUAAAGUGCGUCGUAGUCCGGAUUGGAGUCUGCAACUCGACUCCAUGAAGUCGGAAUCGCUAGUAAUCGUGGAUCAGAAUGCCACGGUGAAUACGUUCCCGGGCCUUGUACACACCGCCCGUCACACCAUGGGAGUGGGUUGCAAAAGAAGUAGGUAGCUUAACCUUCGGGAGGGCGCUUACCACUUUGUGAUUCAUGACUGGGGUGAAGUCGUAACAAGGUAACCGUAGGGGAACCUGCGGUUGGAUCACCUCCUU